CAAGGAUUCCCUUAGUAACGGCGAGUGAAGAGGGAAGAGCUCAAAUUUUAAAUCUGGCGUCUUUGGCGUCCGAGUUGUAAUCUAGAGAAGUGUUUUCCGUGGUGGACCAUGCACAAGUCUCCUGGAAUGGAGCGUCAUAGAGGGUGAGAAUCCCGUAUAUGGCAUGGACUCCCAUCGCUCUGUGAUACACUCUCAACGAGUCGAGUUGUUUGGGAAUGCAGCUCCAAAUGGGUGGUAAAUGCCAUCUAAAGCUAAAUAUUGGCGAGAGACCGAUAGCGAACAAGUACCGUGAGGGAAAGAUGAAAAGCACUUUGGAAAGAGAGUGAAACAGUACGUGAAAUUGUUGAAAGGGAAACGCUUGAAGUCAGUCAUGCGCUUUGGGAUUCAGCCUUGCUUCUGCUCGGUUUACUUCCCAUCGGGUGGGUCAACACUCAGUUUGGGUCAGAGGAGAACGGCUUGGGGAAGGUGGCAGCAUUCGUGCUGUGUUAUAGCCCCUUGUUGUAUACCCUGACUGGGACUGAGGACUGCAGCACGCCAUAUGGCCGGGGUGUUUCACCCACGUACGUGCUUAGGAUGUUGGCAUAAUGGCUUUAAGCGACCCGUCUUGAAACACGGACCAAGGAGUCUAACAUGUGCGCKAGUGUUUGGGUGUUAAACUCGGACGCGAAAUGAAAGUGAAAUGUUGGGAACACUUAUGUGUGCACCGACGCCCGGAGCUGACCUUUUGUGAUGCAUCUGCGGCAGAGCGUAUAUGUUGGGACCCGAAAGAUGGUGAACUAUGCCUGAAUAGGGUGAAGCCAGAGGAAACUCUGGUGGAGGCUCG
rnacentral:rRNA from 1 species